AUCCGCGCUUUCCCAGCCCCUGUAAGUGCUUCAUCAAAAGCCAAGGGAACUUCUCCACCGACAGAAGUUCUGGAGCAGCGUGACUUAGGGUGCAGCUGUAAUCCUGACCUGCUCGAGGCCCGGAGCGCCGAGGGGGAAGGCGGAUCGCUCGAACGCUGCCGGGGUUCUUCCCUUUUGAGUGUGAAAAACCUCGAGCUGCAAAGGUGAACCCAGAAAUCCCUUCACAGGAGGUGAAAUCCUUCCUAGGUCGCUGCCCUCGGGGGUGGGCAGGGGUUGCCUCUGCUUGGAUUGGGUUUGAGUUUGCAAAAGGUGAUUGACUGAUUUUUAUUUAUUUUUUCCCCCACCUCCUUCUCACCUUCCCCUUUCCUCUACGUCCGAGGCCUGACUAAGGAAACUGUAAACGCCUUUGUGUUACUUUGCACCUGCUCAUUGUUUCCCAAGGAGCCUUUUUUGGUUUCAGCCAAUAAAAACGGGGACAUUUUAUGAC